rnacentral:rRNA from 1 species
GAUGAACGCUGGCGGCGUGCCUAAUACAUGCAAGUCGAGCGAACGGACGAGAAGCUUGCUUCUCUGAUGUUAGCGGCGGACGGGUGAGUAACACGUGGAUAACCUACCUAUAAGACUGGGAUAACUUCGGGAAACCGGAGCUAAUACCGGAUAAUAUUUUGAACCGCAUGGUUCAAAAGUGAAAGACGGUCUUGCUGUCACUUAUAGAUGGAUCCGCGCUGCAUUAGCUAGUUGGUAAGGUAACGGCUUACCAAGGCAACGAUGCAUAGCCGACCUGAGAGGGUGAUCGGCCACACUGGAACUGAGACACGGUCCAGACUCCUACGGGAGGCAGCAGUAGGGAAUCUUCCGCAAUGGGCGAAAGCCUGACGGAGCAACGCCGCGUGAGUGAUGAAGGUCUUCGGAUUGUAAAACUCUGUUAUUAGGGAAGAACAUAUGUGUAAGUAACUGUGCACAUCUUGACGGUACCUAAUCAGAAAGCCACGGCUAACUACGUGCCAGCAGCCGCGGUAAUACGUAGGUGGCAAGCGUUAUCCGGAAUUAUUGGGCGUAAGCGCGCGUAGGCGGUUUUUUAGUCUGAUGUGAAAGCCCACGGCUCACCCGUGGAGGGUCAUUGGAAACUGGAAAACUUGAGUGCAGAAGAGGAAAGUGGAAUUCCAUGUGUAGCGGUGAAAUGCGCAGAGAUAUGGAGGAACACCAGUGGCGAAGGCGACUUUCUGGUCUGUAACUGACGCUGAUGUGCGAAAGCGUGGGGAUCAAACAGGAUUAGAUACCCUGGUAGUCCACGCCGUAAACGAUGAGUGCUAAGUGUUAGGGGGUUUCCGCCCCUUAGUGCUGCAGCUAACGCAUUAAGCACUCCGCCUGGGGAGUACGACCGCAAGGUUGAAACUCAAAGGAAUUGACGGGGACCCGCACAAGCGGUGGAGCAUGUGGUUUAAUUCGAAGCAACGCGAAGAACCUUACCAAAUCUUGACAUCCUUUGACAACUCUAGAGAUAGAGCUUUCCCCUUCGGGGGACAAAGUGACAGGUGGUGCAUGGUUGUCGUCAGCUCGUGUCGUGAGAUGUUGGGUUAAGUCCCGCAACGAGCGCAACCCUUAAGCUUAGUUGCCAUCAUUAAGUUGGGCACUCUAAGUUGACUGCCGGUGACAAACCGGAGGAAGGUGGGGAUGACGUCAAAUCAUCAUGCCCCUUAUGAUUUGGGCUACACACGUGCUACAAUGGACAAUACAAAGGGCAGCGAAACCGUGAGGUCAAGCAAAUCCCAUAAAGUUGUUCUCAGUUCGGAUUGUAGUCUGCAACUCGACUACAUGAAGCUGGAAUCGCUAGUAAUCGUAGAUCAGCAUGCUACGGGAAUANAAAUGCCGGGUCU